CAGUCGACGCGUUGGCCCAAUUGAUUGAUGGUGCUUGCACCUGAUUGAUUUUGGUCUCCAACGAGUGGCGGACGGGUGAGUAACACGUAGGUAACCUGCCCAGAAGCGGGGGACAACAUUUGGAAACAGAUGCUAAUACCGCAUAACAACGUUGUUCGCAUGAACAACGCUUAAAAGAUGGCUUCUCGCUAUCACUUCUGGAUGGACCUGCGGUGCAUUAGCUUGUUGGUGGGGUAAUGGCCUACCAAGGCGAUGAUGCAUAGCCGAGUUGAGAGACUGAUCGGCCACAAUGGGACUGAGACACGGCCCAUACUCCUACGGGAGGCAGCAGUAGGGAAUCUUCCACAAUGGGCGCAAGCCUGAUGGAGCAACACCGCGUGAGUGAAGAAGGGUUUCGGCUCGUAAAGCUCUGUUGUUAAAGAAGAACACGUAUGAGAGUAACUGUUCAUACGUUGACGGCAUUUAACCAGAAAGUCACGGCUAACUACGUGCCAGCAGCCGCGGUAAUACGUAGGUGGCAAGCGUUAUCCGGAUUUAUUGGGCGUAAAGAGAGUGCAGGCGUGUUUUCUAAGUCUGAUGUGAAAGCCUUCGGCUUAACCG
rnacentral:rRNA from 1 species